AAAUCCUGAAAAAAAUCACUUAUUUUUCAUUUGUUUUCAAUAAAAUCGAAUUCUGAAUCUUUUUCAAAAACAAAGACUGUUUUAUUUUAGUUCAAUGGAAACAAUCGUAAACUAAUGUCUCGGAAGUUGAAAAUGAUUAAAAUUUUAAGUUUUCCGAAUUUAUUUCGACCGUGAGCAGACGAUAUUUUACCUGAAGUUUUAGACAGCAAACAUGAGAAUUUUAUUUUAUUUAAUAAAAGAUGUUAAGGGUAUUAAAAUUGCUAAAUUGCAUGGAUUUAUGAAUUCUUGUUGACUUUCGUUUGUUAACAAUCCAUAUGGGAAAAACGGACCGAUGCGACAUUAGUAAGGACUUUCCUAAGAAGACACGUCGUCGAGAACUCCAACGCGUAACCGAGAAUACUGUGCACGAGUGGAGCGCGUCCGUAAGAGAAGGUGAAAGGGAAGUCACGGUUUCGAAAACUCUGUGCGAUGAGCGAGGGGAGUGGGAGUACAACGGGCGUACACUUGAGCAUAGUGGAGCUUCCAACACGUUCAUUUUCGGCUAGUGCAUACUUCGCUGGAUAAAAGGAAAAAUUUCAGAGUUCGCGGGUGCAGCGGUGGCUCCUUGAGACGUAGAGUGUCCAUCAGGAACGUGGAAAAGAACGACUGGUUGUUCUCGAGAUGAAAAAGGACUCAUGGGAGCGUAUGGAACGUCGCAACGGAAAAAUCCCUUUCUUUGGAGCUGAAUAAUCUCGCCCUCUUUCACCCGCUUCAGUUCGCUCUCGCCUAAUAAUUUAAUUUCUUUCUGCAACCGUUAACAUUGUAAUUAUAUUGAAAGAUAAUAAUUCAUAAAAUUUGUUAUAAAAA